UCCUACGGGGGGCAGCAGUAGGGAAUUUUCGUCAAUGGGCGCAAGCCUGAACGAGCAAUGCCGCGUGAACGAGGAAGGUCUUCGGAUCGUAAAGUUCUGUUGAAGGGGAAAAAGAGCGGAGAGAGGAAAUGGUCUCCGAUUGAUAUUACCCUUCGAGGAAGUCACGGCUAACUACGUGCCAGCAACCGCGGUAAUACGUAGGUGGCGAGCGUUAUCCGGAAUGAUUGGGCGUAAAGGGUGCGUAGGCGGCCUGCUAAGUCUGGAGUGAAAGGUACCGGCUCAACCGGUACAGGCUCUGGAAACUG
rnacentral:rRNA from 1 species